rnacentral:misc_RNA from 1 species
AGGCAUACUUUGAUUUAUCAAUUAUUGAAAUAAGCAUAUUAUUUGAUAAAUGUUGUAGUAGGAAUGAGAUAGACUACGUGAAUGGUGGUUUGUACAGUUCAUUAUUGGCUACUGAAGCCAAGGGGGUGAGCUCUCAUGGGUUUCCUGGAGGUUUAGGAAAGAUUUGAUGCUUUUUUGUUGACCGUUGAUUGUAGAAUCUAUAAAAUUUGUGUCUUAUAUUUUGCAGGACUGGUAGGUUAUCAGACGCCGACAGAAUAAUAAUGUGACUAAUGCCUCUUCUGU